UACGUAGGGUGCAAGCGUUGUCCGGAAUUAUUGGGCGUAAAGAGCUCGUAGGCGGUUCGGCCAGUUUGACGUGAAAUCUCCACCGCUCACCGGGGAGGGGCCGUUGAAUACUGCGGAUCUGGAGUUCGGCAGAGGACCAUGGAAUUUCGGGUGUAGCGGUGGAAUGCGUAGAUAUCGGAAAGAACACCGGUGGCGAAGGCGGUGGUCUGGGCCUGAACUGACGCUGAGGAGCGAAAGCCAGGGGAGCAAACGGG
rnacentral:rRNA from 1 species